CAAGAGACUGGGAUGCACCUGGUUGCAGAUAGAAAAGAAUGCCAGUGACUGUGUACUCUGGAGGUCCCUUGUCGACGGCCUAUACCCCAACAGGGGUGUAAGUAAGUAAGUAACGCUCUCUCCACACUCUGGCUCUUAAUCGCCUUUGUUGCUUCUUCUUAUUACUAUUAUUAUUAUUGUUAUUAUUAUUAAUUUUUUUAUUGCAAACAUUUAACAAGACAUGCAAAUGAGUGAAGUGCAAAAAUAAUAAUGAAUAAUAAAAGAAACAAGAAAUAAGAAGUUUAAAAAACAACACCAACGAAGACACUAACAAGAGAUAAAAACAAACCAAAAACAACAACAACAAAUGAUAAUCAGCAUAAAAAGGCAAGCAGAGCAGAAACACAAAUGAGUCAGGAGUAGGGAGUAUCAGUCACAACCGCUCAACAUGUAUGGUAAGGAAUAUUGUGGCUUGAUUGUGUUGAUAAGUACAAUGUAUGUGGUUUGUUAUGUAAAAUUAAAAUAAUAAUAAUAAAGAAAAACUAAUAAGCAAUUGAACCCGAAAGAAAAUAAGAUAAAAUAAUGAUUAGAAGUUUGGGGUCCGGGCUCACAAGCAAUAAGUGUGAGGCUCUGAGAAUAGGAGGGGUCCAGGUUGCUUCAAAAUAAUGACUUUGGUCUUGGAGAGCAGCUCACAGCUUUUCCAUAGAUAUGUAUCCUGUAAGGAUGUUUAACUGGUGUGAUGUGCUAAGUUGCUGCUUAUUAAUCAGGAGCUUUGAAUGACCUCAACGCCUCUGAACCUAUUUUGCUGUAUCAUCAGUUCAUCAUAAAAACAGAUAAGAUGACGAAGGAGAAGCUGAUCUCACUUGUUUUUUCACUUUCCAUCGCUGCUUCUUUUCUUAUACAUUCGUCUCCUCUAUUAUUUUACAGGCUUGAUUUUCUACCAUUUUUCUAUCUUUAUUUGCCUCCUUACCUUCUCUACCUUCUCCUCGGAUCACACCCUCCCAUAUUUCAAACCUCCAUUAUUCCUCGUCUCCUCAUUUUCUCCUCUUCCCUCAUUACCUCCAAAUAUCCUCAUAUUCCAUUUCCACUUCCUCAGACUCUCCUCCUCCUCCUCUCUGCUUUUCUCCUUUCUCUGGGUCCAGAUUAAUAAUCUGACUUCCUGCAGAUAAAUGGUCGAGCCUGAACAGAUGGGUGGCCUAGUUUCUGCCUCACUCCUCCUCUUAUCGAUUUCUCUCUUUCUUUAUCAAUGAGCCAUCAUUCAUCCUUCAGUCUGACUGAAACAGACCCAAAACCGAAAGACUUUUCAGAGAGCUUCACGAGAUGGUUGUACAAUUUCAAAGUGAAACUGGAAACCGAAUUGUCUCCAGUGUGGGUGAAUAUUUACUGUUUCUGAUGUUAUUUAAACACAACUGAAGCGUUAAGCCACUCUCUCUCUCUCUCUCUUUCUCAAUCUUUGGCCCACUCACUGCUUCCCUGACUUUUUGACAUGAUGAAAUUUCAUUAUACAGAGAGGUUACCCAGAACUCUUCAGUGUGGUGUUACAGCUGGAAAAAACUAAUGAGAUUCAGUGUCAGACUUUUGCUAUUUCAGGGUCUGCUGUCGUCUGCUGUGCUCCGACCCCCAAACAUGUUUUAUUAUGUACAGAAAAAACUGUCCGAUUGGAUGUUAACCACACUAAGACUUGAAUCUCACCUCACCUUUACAUGGAGACAGCGCUAAAUUCAAAAGAUGAUAAGAUGUAAAGUAGUCUGUUUUUGACCUUUAGGAGGGGUUUUGGCAUCAACUGUAAUUGUUUUGUUUUUUUUCUAGCUGUGAAAAUCUCAGUCGAUUCUGUGCAGAAUACUGUUGAACAAAAUCCAUCAAGUAUGAAAUUAAGAAAAUGAGUUUGCCCUUUGGUUUUAAAACUGAGAGUCUCUCUUUCCUUUUUUUUGGCUUGUCUGUUUUUAUUGAAAAGAAACACUCAACCCUGAGUGCCAAUGAUUAGAGAAGCCCAAAAAAUGCAGUUCCUUUAAAAACCACUAGAGGCUGGAAGGGAGUGAAUCUCCAUAAAACGCCAUUGUAAAUGUGUUUCUGUUCAGCUUUUCAAGGAAGGAAGGAAAGAAAGAAAGAAAGAAAGAAAGAAAGAAAGAAAGAAAGAAAGAAAGAAAGAAGAGAAGUGGGGGAAUCAAGGAAGGGAGUUAGGAAAUGAGAAAUGUACAAAGGAAGGAAGAAUAAAUAAAAAGAGUCCAUGGUGGAAAGAAAUAAAGAUAGACAGGGGAAAUAUUAAAAUGACAUAAGGAGGAAAGAAGGGAGGAAAUGCCAUACGAAAAGGCCCGAAGGAAGAAGGAAAAGAAGGAAUGUAGGGAGAGGUAAGGGAGGAUUGAAUGAACGAAUGACCAAAUGAAUUCUAGGGGAUGGGGAUGGAAGGAAGGCGAUAAGGAAGAAGAAAAGUAAAGAAGGAAGACAGAGACUUCAGAAGGUAGAAGGGGCGAUGGAAGAAAUCUAAGAAGACACAAAAGAAGAAAGAAGUGGAGGAAGGAAGGAAGAAAGGGGCAGGUGAAAAGGAAGGAUUGUUUGAGGGAAAAAGGAAAGAUAUAAUGAAGAAAAGGAAAGAAUGGUUGGGAGAAAAACAGAUUAAAAACUGGUGUUUUUUCAUUCAAGAAGAAAUAAGCUAUUUCAAAGCAAAGAUGCUUUGAGAAGGGUGUAAAGGAGAAAAGGCAGGAAGAAAAAAGGUUUGAAAAUGAAGGAGAAGAAAGGAAAUUAUAAUAACAUAAAAGUCAAAGAAAACAGGAGGAAAAGAUGUACUGAAAAAGAAAGAGUGAGACAUGAAAGGAGUCAAGGAAAUAGGUGCAGAAGAGGAACAUUUUCUUUGAGCUGGCACAUCCAGUCAGAAUUGAAGGACAGAGGUGCAGCGCCCUCUGGUGGCUGCUGAAAAACCCUAACGUAUUAGUUUUUGCUCAUGGACAGACUCUGCCCUCUCUCUCUCCCUCUCUUUUUCUCUCUCUCUCUCACACACACAGUUGCACACACACACCUUCUGAUCCUAAAGUUUCUGUAAAGGCUCCACAUCAUUACACUGAUGGAGUUAAUACACAAUAUCCUGUUUCUGCUCGCUCUUCUGAUGAGAAUAAAUGAGUCCCUCGCCUCAAACAGCAAGGUAAUGGAAUAUUGAAUAAAUGAUGCUUCCUCUACGCAGCCUCAGCCCGCUGCUCGCAUGUGUGUAUGUGUGUGUGUGUAUGAGUGUGUGUGUUUAAAAUUCACUUUAAAGGAUUUUCUGCACAUUUAAAGUCUGUUUUGUUCUCCUUUUUUAUCUGUCAGGGGGGGGUUUGUUUCAGCUCCAAUACAAAAAAUAAUGAGAAUAUUUGUGCAGAGAAGACUAAACAUGAAGGUGAAAAGGAUUUUACAAAAUCUUCAGAAAACACAUGUAAUGACAAGAACCAUCAUCAGACAGUUUUAAGGUACAAAUAUUCUCUAUGAUUCGUGAGUGUUUGAGGAAGAAACACUGCAGAUAAUGUUUAAAACAGUCUUAAGGUCCUUUCACACCGGGAGCGUUUUUUUCAUGCGAUUAUUUCGGAUGUCAGUAUUUUUUUUUCGAACCCGUAUCCUGUCAAUACAAGCGUUCACAUCAGUGACGUUUUCCCGUCCUGCAAUAUUGCGGCAUUUAUUUUUUCGGAUCACGGUCGAAUUUUCUAAAGUUUCGCAUACUGUGUGUCCACUUCUGACCAACAUGGCAUAUCCAACAUAUCCAACAUGGCCGACCGGCUGAUUGUUUACGUGUCGGAGAACAGAGUGCUUUUUGAUAAAAGACACAAAUAUUACAAAGAUAACGACCUGAAGGACAACUUGUGGAGAGUCAUAGCGUUGGAUUUCUCAUAUGACGAUGGUUUGUGUGCUUUAACAGUUUGUUAAACAUCUUUGUUUUAACUUUCAUCAGUGCUAAGUAACUUUAGCUCGUAAGCUAAUAUGUUCAGAUACAACAUACCAUAUGUAUUUUCACUGUCUCAAACUCAAUACCUUACGUUUAUGGAUUAUAGUUUAAUGUGCUUAUCUGGUACUGGCCCCGACUCAGUACAUGCUAUCAUGACAGACAGACAUCUCAACACUAGAGUCUAAUCAGAACUGAAAAACACUCAGUCUGCUGUUGUGUCAGUCUUCUCGCUUCCACCCAGCGAGAAGACUGACAAUCUCUCUUCUCGCUUACAAUCACUCACACAUAGAAGGCGUACAAAAUCAAAGGCGAGAUGUUUAGAUCCAAACAGGAAAGAGAGGUGACAGGUGAGAACAUUUUAAACCAACAGAGGAACAAACAGCUCAAUUAAACCUGUUUUUUCCUCCCCUGGUAUCAUUUCACACGUCUUUGUUCAUCAACUUGUGUUUGAUCUUUUUUUUUUUUCCACACUUCACAGAAAAAAAAAACAUUCAUUAAAAGCUGAUCAGUGACAAGAAUUCAGUCAGAGUGUUGUUUUCCCUUUAUAUCUAAUUUGAUGCUGAUUGCUGUAGUCAUAUUUAGAUUCAAAAUAGCUUUUAACAAGUUUAAUUUUAUAUCAAGGACAUUUGUUUUAACUGAAUCUGAGGGCAAAAUCAUGUUGAAUAAAGUCAGUUUGGUCUGAUUAAAAGUAGGGUCGAUUAAAAAGACGUAUGGGUGUAAAUUGCAUUUAGACAAAGAAAGGAGGGGACCAUUUAUUAAGGAGAAAUAUAAUAUAGAAUAAGAAAGACGUUCUAGUCAGGUUUCUUGUGAUAUCAAAAUGUCUUAUUUUCUGAUCUAAACAAGUAAAAUUCCUGCUGAUCCCACUAGUCAUGAUGUUUUAAGUGUACUGUCCUAUGGUAUGCUAUUCAUCAGGUCUACUCAGUAAAUUGGGUUCAAUGAGUGAUUCAUUCACUGAACGUUUAGAAGAAUUAACACUCAACAUGCAUCAUUCCCCUGCAAACCACUGCAAUGAUCAGAUGCUGCGGGUUUUAUGCACUACUUGUUACAUGUUGUGUCCUAUUGUAUGAAAGUUUUUGUGGCAAUUUGGCAGUAAAAAAAAAGUAAGUUUUGUCUGACAAAAUUAUUCCAGAGAGUGUAGUUCAAUGCCUGAUUCGUUCACCAAGUGAUUCAGGUGUCAGUGUAUGCGGUCCCUCGUUCGCCGGCUGCUCGCCUGGCAAUGCUGCGUGCUAGAGCAUCUGCCCUGCUGACAGCUCAACUGAAGUGAGAAACGAAAGAAUCACUUGAGGAAGUGAUUCAGUUAAGUACGUUCACUUUAAAGAUUCGGUUCUUUUGAACGAAUCGUUCACGAACGACACAACACUAUCAUGAAUACAUCUUACCAGAUCUCCUUGUGUUGCUCUUCCAGUCUUACAACUGCAACUAUAUUUUUGCUUUCAUUUAAUGACACUGGAUGGCCUUUUUUUAGAUCCAGAGUUCAUAAGAUGCCCUCAUCUAAACAAUUAAAUGAUAACACAAUGUCAACAAGACACACCACAGUAAACAUGUAUGGUAAAACUGAACAAUAGAAUUUUUACAGACCUCAGUUUGCUUGUAAAACAUAUUUCUGUGUGUCUAAGUGUGUGUGUGUGUCCUUGUAGUUUCAGGUGUGACUUAUGAACCUGGGCUGCAGUGGAAAUAUGAAAGAAAAGCCUCCAAUCCCAUCUGUGAAAUCACUCACACACACACACACUCACUCACACACACACACACACACACAUACACACACACACACACUCUGCAGUGUUCAUUACUCUGAUCGAUCUGCUCUGUGAUUGGUUGCGACGUUCUAAUGUGAGUAGAGACUGAGUCAGCCAGACGAUCUGAUUGGCUGAAGGAAACAGAAAUUAAACAAUGAUUGAUGGAUGAAAAGAGAAAUCUGAUUCCGUCUCUAAUCUUCUCUCAGUUUGACCUCCUUAAUUGGACUGAUGCUGACACAUUAACGACUUCUACCCAGACAAAUUAGAUGACUAGGGUGAUAAAAGGGGCGGAGCUUCAUUAUAUUCAAUUACCGCAUAUAUAAAAAGAUCUGCUAAUGAGGUAGAUUCUUGUGAGUUAUUUGAAUUUUCCUUGUCUGUCUUCCUCGUUAGCAGAUAACUUAAGCUGCUAAUUGGUUGAAACUUCCCCCUCCUGUUUGAUUAAUUGACAUCAACUGCUCUUUUUUCUCUGCAGAAAAUGAUACCUAUGUUCAACAGCAAGUAUGCACUUACAUUCACAGUUAAUUUAUUUAUAUGACGGGAGGUUGUUCAUAAUUAAAUCUGAUUAUACAGUUUGGUAAUUUAUUCUAGUGAGUGUUUGCAGGUGUGAGAUUUCACUGUUAUAUACCGUCACACUGUCAGAGAGUUAUGUUAAUUAUUGUUGUAAAACGCUGCAAGCAAAACUACACUUAAGUUCCCAGUCUGCUUUGAUGGCAUUGAUUCAAGUGUAUUUAUAACUUUCUACCGCAGAGAGAGACGUGGUUGAAGGAGGCAGAGAAAACAGCAUAAAUGCCUUGUUAAGUAACAGAUGUUACCCAAAUUUUAAAGCCAGUGUGACUUUCAGAAUAGUGAUGGGCACGACAGUUCUUUUAGAUGUACUGAAUCACUAGAAUCAGUUCACUAAAAAGAUUCGUUCAAAAGAUUCGUUCACCAAAUCACUGAAUCAUUUAGCGGGAGAUGCCUGCGACUCCGACCUCCUGAACUGAUACACAGCUGAACAGUUCAGGAUUCAGUUCAAGUCAUAGCUUCUGGGACCAGGAGACAAGAGUGUUUGGCUUUGUUGCUUUGGCAAACAGGUUUGUAAAAAUGAACUUAUUUAUAAGUCAUGAUGUUUUAAGUGUACUGUCCUAUGGUAUGCUAUUUAUCAGGUCUCCCAGGGUCAGUGAGUGAUUCGUUCACUGAACAUUUGGAUGAAUUCACACUGAACAUACACCGUUCCCUCGCAAACCGCUGCAAUGAUAGGAUGCUGUGGGUUUAAUGCACUACUUGUUACAUGCUGUGUCCUGUUGUAUGCAAGUUGUUGUGGUGGCAAUUUAGCAGUGAAAAAAAAGGUAGUUCUGUCCAACAAAAAUGAUUCCAGAGAGUGUAGUUCAAUGCGUGAUUCAUUCACCAAGUGAUUCAUGUGGUCCCUCGUUCGCCGGCUGCUGGCCUGGCAACGCUCAUUUUCAAUGCAAGAUAUUUUUCUUGUGUGCACAAGUUACAAUGAUAGAAUAAGUGAAAAAAGGAGGUAGUUACUUCCAGAGCUGUCCACAGGGGGCACCAAAAUCAACACAGAGUUUCUGUCGCAAAGUUGUAUUGUAUACAGACAUUUCUGGCAACACUGGCAGCUUGAAGUCAUCGUUGCAACAUUGUCCAGACUUAAGUUUUGUAGGUUCCUAGCCAGACUAAUUAAAGAAAAAAAUGGAAUAAUUAGACAUGUAAAAACAAAAUAAGCAAAUUUUGAGUAUGUUUCGACACAAAUUGUCUACAAAAAAUACGCUUUUAAAAACCUGCACAAUGACAUGCCUCUCAUUUUACAGUUGGCUUUUAUCCAAAUCAACCAUCACUUUCAUUUAAUCAACUGUCUCUUUAUUUUGACACCUUUUUUCGUUCCGUACACUUAGGACAUUUUAAUCUUAAGGCUUUUCCUAGUUAUUCUAUAUUGGUUUAAUUAUCACGUUAAGCGUUUACACCAGAGACUCGAAACAAAUCUGAUGAAUUAUUUUUGACUUGUUUUAUUCAAACAUUAAUCCCCUCUUGAUUCAGUUCUACCUCAUGUUGUUCUCUCUUUAUACUCAUCAAAUGAAUAAUAAUUUACAGCUGGAGGCUUAAUACUGAAAUUUGCAUAAUUAUUCACUUGCAUUUGAUUGCAUACAUUCACCCAGUGUGUAUAUAAAUGUAUUAAAAAGACAGGCAGGGUGAAACGCUGUCAUUAUUGAUGGAAUUAACACAAAUCAACAGAGAUAAAGAUAUAAAUAUUACAAACUAAAGAGCUGAAGAAAACUUUGAAAAUGAUGAGACAACAACUAAAUUACUUUUUUAAAAUUUCUGCUUAAAGAGAAUCAUGAUCAAACCAAAUAAACGUAGUGUCUUUUAUAAGUGUAAAGUGUACAGGAAAAGUUUUGUACAUCAUUGACUGACAAAACUGUGUAGAGUUCUUUACUGUAUAAAUUUAAGCAAAACCAUGCAAGAAACAAUUCAAUCAACCGUACACUACAACAGCAUCCUGGAAAUUUUGGUGGUUAAAGUGGAUUUCAGUGGAUUUUUUAUAUUCCUAUCGAUAUCAGAGCCUUGAUAUUACAUUUUCGUCAGUUUGAGAGUCUUUUUUCUCGAUUUUUGUUGGUCUUGGAGUUUAGAUGUACAGAUUCAGUAGGUUUUGGUAGAAUUCUAGAUUUCUUGUUGUUUUAGUGACUUAAGUCCAGAUCUCUGUUGGUUUUACAGUCCAAAUUAUAGACUCAUGGUGAUUUUCAAAUAUUGACAUUAGAGUUUGGUUGGGUUUAAAGUCCUAAAGUUGGAUUGUUGUUAGUUAGAGAGUUUUACUUCUAGAUUUCUGCUGGUUUAAGUUGCUCAAAAUUUAAUGCAGUCAAUUGUAGAUUUCUGCUGGUUUUAAAGUCUUUAUUAUAGAUUUAAUUUUAGAUAUCUUUUGGUUCUGGACUUUCAUUUGUAGUCCUCUGUGUUUGCAGCUUAUUGUCUGUUUGAUUAAUCUUUGUUUUAGUUUCAAGAUUUCUUUUGGAACUAGUCUUUUAGAUUUUUGUGGGUUUAAGUUUGUUAAGAGGAGUGUCUUUUUUUUUAGUUUAGCAAUUCUUUAUCUCUUUUUCUAUUUAGUUAGCCUGUCUUUUCCCUCUUUAACCAUCUUUUCCUCUCUCUUUCCUGCUUUUUAGGUUUCAGUUUACUUGAAGAAUUCACCUUGUUCCCUUUCUGACUAACAAGUUUCUCUGCAAAGUCAACAACCUGCUUUCAUCCUCAUCACUGUGAGUGUACGUGUGUUUGUGUGUGUACCAGGAUGUGUAGGUGUGUAUUUGUGUAGAUAACAGUGCUUGUCUAAUAAUCAGCCUCAGUGUCAUCUCAACAGAAAGGGACAGAGGAGGUAGGUGGAAGCUAUCAGGAGAAAGCUAUUGAUAUGCUAAUAUGUGCCGCACACACACACGCAGACGUAGGCAGUGUGGAAGCAGGAGAAUGGAGGAUUUCAUAUUCUAUCUCUGAAGCCUUUUAUUAGCAAGCAGGAGUGAAACCUCUUAUUAGAGACACUGAGAAGAAACUCUAACUCAGCUCUUAUUUGUUCUGUCCAUCAUCUCGACCACUUCUGAUUAGAUUUCUUUUUAUUGGUCCUUCUCUCAUAUUCUCUUUUUACUUCAUGUGAUAUUCCUCCAGGUUUCUUGUCUCUAGUUUGAUAUUACUGUCAGUGUUAUCUCUUUUAUAUUGAUUUUAUGUGUCACUUUAAGUCUUCACAUUGAUAAAACUGUCACAGUUAGAGUGAUGAGUCCGUUUUGUUUUGAGGUUUAAAAGUCUCACAGUCUUGUUUUAAUGGUUUUGUAAGUUUUUAAGUCUCUGUUUUGAUCAGCCAUAAAUUUUCUGUCUGUUAAAGACAUUUUAUUUGGAAAUGUUUGUCACUUUUAGAGUCAUAAGUUAAUUUAACUUCACUGAAGGUUUUUAUCUCUUUAAAUUCCCUUUUUUUAUUCCCGGCAGUCUUACAGACUUCAUCAUUUCUGUCAGUUUCAGAACCUUUAGUUUUUCCUCUCUGUUGGUUUAGGAUUGCAAGUUUCUCGCUGAGUCAGAUUCAAAGCCUGAAGUCUGUCAUUUGUGAAGGUAAUAGAGCAAUAUUAGUCUGAUUUAUGGGCCUGUAGUCUUCAGUUGUCAUAGUUUUGGACCCUUGAGCUGUUGAAUAUAGGAAGCUGAAGUUUGAGUUUCUGGAUUGAGUUCCAUAAUUUCUUAUUUAUGGUCAUUUUCAAGCUACUUGUUACUUAUAGGGUGCUGAAUUGUUAUUUUGCUCCUUUUAUAUUUUUAAGUUAUUACAUUCCCAGAGUCUUCAGUUGUGACAUUGUAACUCUAGCAGUCUGAAGUGUUCACAUUGUUCUUUUACAGUCUUGAGUUGUUACAGUGUUGUUUGCACGGUCUUGACUCUUAACAUCAUAACUCUCUGUUAAGCUGUUACAUUGUAACUCUAGCUGUCUGAAGUUGUAACAUUGUGUUUUUUAACAGUCUCGAGUUGUUACAGUGUUGUUCUAACAGUCUUGACUCUUAACAUUUUAACUCUCUCAAUCUUAAGCUGUUACUUUGUAACUUGAGUGGUAAGUUUGCAAUUAUUCGUUACUUCUGUUCAUUUAAAGGUCUUUGAUUUGUUAUUUCUGCCAGUUUUAGAGCCUUUAGAACCUCUUUAUCUUCAACUUUAGCAUCUUUACUUUGUCUAAGUUUUUAGUUUUUUUUGUUGCUCUGGAUCUAAAUUAUUCCUUAUUCCUGCUUGGUUGUUUUUGAAUCAUUGAUUUAAUUCUGUACAUUUUAAACUAAAAUUUGUAACUGUCAGCUUUAUAAUUCUUGAGUUUAUCAUUCUGAUAUUAUCACCAUCUGGACUUUACAUUUUCAAUGUGUUAAAGUUGCAGGUUUUAGAAAAGUACAUUUUUUUUACCAUCUAUGGCAUGAUUUUGUGUCUUAAUUCACAGGACAUUAAUUCUUCAUUAGUUUGGAGUCUUACCUCCAUGUUUUUUUCCAGUUUUUAGUCUUAAAUUUGAGAUUUUAUUCAACCUUUCAGUCUGUAAUUUGAUAUUUUUUCAGCGUCAGAGCCGAGACUAUCCUUUUUCUUCACCUGUUUCCAUGAAGGCUAUGUACUGUUUCUCUUCCUCUUAAUGCUUUUUGCUCAAGGGCACAGAGGCAGCUGGUUUACGACCUGCUGCUGUCAGGACGGAGACAGGUCUGUUGCCAUGGUAACACCAGAGAGAGGGAGAAAGAAAGAAAGAGGGGGAGUCCGUCAUUCAUUCCUCUCCUCUUUCUCUCUUGUUCAUGUCAGUUCAGGUUUCUGAGCCUGGCAGGAUUAUAACCUGACAUGAAGCCCACCACAUGCACACGCACAUGCACCCAGGCACGCACACACACACAGUGACAUUGAGGGAAAAUAGAAUUGAAGGCUGCAGAGUCACAGUACGAAUCAGAAGCUAUUUACCCUGAAGCACACACUCACACACUGACACAUACUCUGAAACACACACACGCACACACACACACACACUCACACACUGACACAUACUCUGAAACACACACAAACACACACACACUGGCACAUAUAAUGUAGCAAACACACCCCAGCAGGCAGCUCUCUGUGGUAUGGAUUAGCAGUCAGCUGGAUGUGUGUGUGUGUGUGUGUGUGUGUGUGUGUGUGUGUGUGUGUGUGUGUGUGUGUGUGUGUGUGUGAAUCUGAGGAUUGAGCAGCACAGUAAACGUGGUGAGACUUUCACACUAUCUUUUUAAACCCAGUUAAAGGUUUACACACCAAAAUAAUCUGGUUUCCCUGCUGAGAUAGAGCCGCAUUAACCAGAGCUCCAGCACCAGCAUUAUGGAUUCUAAACUCUAAACUCAUCCCAAAAUAUGGGCUGAGGUUCAACAUAGUGACAGAAUGCUGACAGCAGGCCUCUUUAAAGGAAAAAAUACACUUUUUAGAGUUUAUCUAAACAAUCAUGCCAGGCCGUCAAUCAGCCAGUCAGUUCAAUCAGUUAUGAUCGCAGUGGCAUGAUCCCAUGAGGAUACAUCCCAGUGACUAUUUUUGAUGAGCCAAGUUUCUCCAAGUGACAAUAAUAGGCUAAAAAUUGUUGCUAACUGCUGUCAUAUCUUCAUUUUUUAAUUAUUCCAAGAGGAUAGACCUUUGCUAGCUUUUCCUGCACAAACAAGGGUUUAGAUUUUUCUUGACCCUCACUUCAUUGCUAAGUACUUUUCAGUGACCGAGUCCCCAGAGGAUAAGCCCUGUGUAAAUGUUUUGGAUUUCCAAAGUUUAAUUCACCAUAGAUCUUUGUGUUUUGGAUAUCUUGAAGAUAGUUCUUCCUGACUCCAAAGUGGAUCAUUGCUAACUAACCUCUUUUAUCCAUUUGUUCUCCAGUGCUAGAAGGUUUACACUUUCUGCUGAAUAUCAGGCUGUUUGCCCAGAUAAUACCAGAAGCAUAGUUCUCAGAGGAUGAAUCUCUGUGAAUUUUUAAGGCUUUAUUUACACCAGUACUUCCAAAAGGAUACAACAAAACUAACUGUAGUGAGUCGCUCUGUCUUAAAUGCAAAGACGUUGAUGCUUUUUGCUCUGAAAUAUACUCCAAGCAUGGUCCACAGAGGAUAAACCCUAGAAACAGUUUUUGAUUUCCUGGGUUUUUCUAUCAUGAUACCAGAAGCUUUAAGUUUGUUUCUAGCAGUCAUCUAAAUUUUCCCCUUUUUUUUCAGAAAAAGUCCUGGCUCCAAAAGACAUUAACCCAUUCAAUGUUUGUUAGUCCACUGUAUAGUAUCAUCUGUGAUUCAUGGUCCCCAGAGGAUGGAUCCUCUUGACAUUUGUGACAGACAGUCAGUUACUGCUAAUCUGAUGUUUAUGUGUUGAUUUCAACUAAAUUGCUACAUUACUGGAUGGACUACCAUGACAUUUUCACAGACAUUCAUGGCCCUAAGAGGAUAAUUCCUAGUUGCCCUCGGGAUCAUUUCACCUUGAUUGUAACCCAUCUGUAAGGCUAUGAUUUGUUACUUUUGCUCAUGAAAAACUAUGAUGGAUUGGUAUGAAGGUUUCUAGUCAUGGUUUGGAGAAGAUGGACCUUAGUGAAAUUUUUACCCACUUAACUCUCUGCUUGUUCCACCACAAGGUUAACCUUAAAAUGUCUUUUCCUGCUCCUGUGUGUCAUGUAGAGUGCUCCUUUCACCAAGUCUUUUCUCUGACUCUGACUCUGACAUUAUUUAAAGCUUCUACACUGAAGUCUCUUUCUUCUCAUGCUGUACAGAAAUGUACAAACACUGAAAGACAGACAGUUAUUAUACUGCAAUAAUUGCCCACACGGGCUCAGACUGACACUCUCACAGUAGUGAAGUCAGAAAUGUGCCUCGGGCUGCAGAUACAAACUUUAAUCAUCCAUCAACUCUGACUCCUGACAUAAUUAUUACACAACACACUCACAGUAUCUGUCAGCUCUCAGUGUUUUCCACACUCCUCUUGAGGAAACUCCAAUUUGCUCUGAACAUCUCAAUUCAGCUCCCUCUCAUGUCUCCUAGUUUGCUUUGAAAUAUCUCCUGGCAUAACAAACCAUCAGAAAGAAAUACAACUUACCAGAAUACCAGAAGGAACAAAAGCAAUUUGUAAGAGCGGUGGAGAUGUUUUUGAAUUUAAUUUAACAUCAUACUGGAAAAAAACAAGGUUGUAACAGAAGCAAAUGUCUUGGACUGCAAGUGUUAUCGGCUGACUCUUGAGUGUGUUUCAGGGCCCUGUCUCAGAGCACCCGAGCCGGUUUUCAUAUUAUAACAACCCUUUGAGCCAUCACAACAGAAAUGUUUUCAGUAAGACUUAAGGUUUCCAGUUAGCAAGAAAAAACCUCUCCUGCCAACAAGACGACCAUUAAGUGGUAACCCCUCAAACUCUCUCUGAAGCUGUUUUGCCCGUGUUAAGUCAAACAUGAAUAAAUUUUGUCAAAUUACUAUAAACAGUGAGUUUUGUUGGAAAAACAUGGAGGUUUUAUAGUAUUUCACAUGUUCAAAUAGCCUUAUGUCUUGUUUCUACUUCUACCAAUCAGAAAUCCACUUAAUCCUAUGUGAACCGGGAUAUCUAGGGCCUUUUCUUCUCUGUAUUUCAGGCCAUAAUCCUCCUUCUAUGUGUUAAAACGUGAAACUUUUGCAACAUACUUCCGAACAACAGCAUGCUCUCUGAGCUGCUGAUUGACAAACUUUAAUUAAAAAUUAAAAUUAGAAUUAAAAUAAGAGGGAAACUUCAUCGCCACUUGACAGAGGCAUUUUUUCUUCAUCUUGAUUGCUUUGGGGUCAAUUUUAAAGGAGUCAGGGUGUAAGAUUAACACAAACCUACCACAUUAAUUAUGUUCAAUUGUGUUCAGUUAAUUGAACUCUAUCGUAUUAAGUUAACUUAAUGUGGUCUCACUGAAUCAAACAUAAUGUUGUUGUGGUUAUGCAAUAUAAUAGUAUAAUGUAGCUUUAAAGUAAGCUUAUUAAGUUAGACUUACUAAAUAUGUGUUGUUCACAUUCAUAGUCUUUUGCUUUUCAUGUUUAAACAACAGUUUUGUCUAUCAAUCAGUCAAUCAAUCUGUAUUUGUAUAGCACUUUUGAUACAUAACAAUGUAGCACACAGUGCUUUACACAGAGGAAUAAAACUUAAGUCUAGUUACAACACAUGAUGAAUCUGAGUAAUGUAACAUCAGAUUGUCUUUAUUAGUUUGGUGUUAAAUACAGUCGGAUUCAUCUGUUAGGGGACAAAAUUAGCCUCCCUUCCAUAGCUACAGGUAUUCUCAGAUUUUUGUACAUCCUUAAAGAAAUACACUUCCUUUCAAUGGAGGUAUCAUCUGUUUGUUCACAUAUCCACAGGCACUAUGUACACAAGUGGAAACAAGGUGUCAAAUUCAUAUUUCAAAGGCCUCUGUGAUCGUGCCUGUAAUAUCAGUCAUGUUUCCAUCCAAAUUCUAAGCAUAUUGUGUUAAAAAUUAUUGGAAACUGGCUUUCCGUGACUGGCUUCGCUGUGCCAGAUAAUUUCAGCAUCUACUGUCAUAUCCUUGCCAGUCUACUCAUGAGUAUCACAAGUUUUGAGCCUUGUCGAGUUUGUGUGUGUGUGUUACUUGCCACUAAUCCCUGCUCUCCUCCUUUUUCCUCCUGUGCCUCCUCAAGCCACCUGAGCUUAGCCCAACCUCUGCCACGCUGCCAAACUCUCGCACCGGAUUCACUCACCUGCCUUAUCCUUGAGCUCUGCCUCCACUUUGCACCUCCAACCCUGGAUUCCCUCCCUCACUUACCCUUUAAUAAAAGCACUGGACCUUUCCCCUCCCUUAACCCUGCUUUUGGGUUUAGCUAAAAACUCUCAUUAGGAUGUCAUAACUCGCUGGCUUUUAAUUUUGGUUUUUAGGCAUCACCACCUUGAUUUUUGGGGACAUACUGUAUAUGGAUAAAGGCAUUGAUUUAGUCUAUCCUUAUGGGUCUUCAUUGUAGCCACUUGUCAAUUAUAAGGUAGCCCUUGAGUAUACCCUGCUGUAUUGACCCAAACAGGACCAUAAUUCACCACUAACUGUAUUUUUUUUUAAAAGGAUCAUGAAAUGGGUGGGAAGAGUCAUCUCAUGUCCUUAUAAACUCUUAAACUCAUAAACUUGUCUUUGCAACCAGCAGCUUUCCCUUCUGUUGGGUGUUAAAAAUGGUUUAUAGCUGUACUUUGAAACCGUAGAGCUAAAUCCUAUUGCCAUAUAUAGAGUUAAGGCCAAAGACACAUAGCACAAUGCUCCUGAGACUGUCUCCUCUAUAUUUUUGUAGUUGUAUGAUGCAUAUUACACCAUUUUCUGGCCAGCUUUGUUACGCCAGCAUCCACAUUGGUGUUGGCGGUGCAAACAGUGAAAAAGUCCUUGGAGUGUUGCAGCAUAGAGGACCUUUUCUAUCUGGAAGUUCCAAGGAUUCGGGUAAAUAGAAUAUGGCUCAUUUUAUUGUUGAGUUUUAUGUAAAUCAGACCAAAAGCUUAGAGAUUUCUUUUCCUUUUUCAUCAAAGUCAAGAAAUGCACACAGUCCUCAUUUGAUUCAUUUCCAUCCCUCAUGAAUACUAACGUUAUUUUGCCGCUCUAUAGAUAUGACAUUGGUUUAUAUGAGCACAUUGAAAGGUUUGUCAAAGCACAUCAAGCCAGAAAACAGAUAAAUUUGUUACAACCCCUUCCAAAACAAACUUUCAUUCUGUUUGAGAGACUGUGCUGGAGCUCAUUAUAAAACAGAAUAAAGAUUAUGCAGAUAUCACUGAGGCUGGACUGUGAUGAGUCGGCUAAAACCAAACAACACUCAGGGAGCAGCAGACAGAGAUCCACACAGAGACGACAGAGCGGAGCUGCUGGCUGCUGCAAAAACGCCACUCACCAUCAGAGGAGAAAGUUUGUGUAAAUCAGCUUAAAUAGACUUUGGCUUCAUGCAUCAUUAAUGGAGGAGCUGCAGUGGAAACUCUGCUGACAAUACAGAGAGCUGUGGACCUGCCGAGCUGCGUGAUGGCUUCAUAUGUGGAGGGAUCAUUCGGGUUAACUUGUUGGCUUUAGCAUCAUCAGGACAAGACCUUAAAUCACCCAGAGUUAGUACAGUAUGAACUGGAUAUAGAUGUCUGUAUACUCUAUUAAAUAGAAGGUGAAAGAUAUUGUGCAGUAUUUAUGUCCUUGAAGGCCACCAUUGCUUUGCUAGUGGGAGGGGUGAGCAAGAGAGCUCUUGGAAUCUGACCACAAGAUGUCCACUGCUUAAUAUUCCCAAUUCAACAUACUAUGCCUUUAAUAAACUGAAAGCAGCAUCAUGCUUUAGGUGUUCCACAAGGAUCAAUUCUAGGUCCUGUCCUAUUGACUUCCAGUGCCAUUAUUUUCAAGAGUGUCCAACCCCUCAAGAAUAACUGGCAUCUUUGUUGUGAUUUUUAAAAGUCUAAUGUGUGGAAAACUACUGCCAAACUUUGUUCGUUCAUUCAUUCGUUUGUGUUUGUCCGCUUACCUGGGUCCAGGUCGCAGGGGCAGCAGCUUUAGGAGGGGAGCCCAGAUGGCCCUCACCCCAGCCACUUCCACCGGCUCAUCUGCAGGGAUUCCCAGGCGCUCCUGGUCCUGGGCCGGCCACGAGGUCCCUUCCCGGUGGGACAUGUCCGGAACAUCUCUACUGGGAGGCAUCCAGAAGGCAUCCUAACCAGAUGCCCAAGCCACCUCAGUGACGUGGAGGAGCAGCGGCUCUACUCUGAGCGCCUCCCAAGUGUCUGAGCUCCUUACCCUACCUCUAAGGCUGAGCCCGGCCACCCUGCGGAGGAAACCCAUUUCGGCCGCCUGUAUCCACGAUCUCGUUCUUUCUGUCAUUACCCUGUCAAGUUCAUGACCAUAGGUGAGGAUCGGCACAUCGAGAGUCUCGCCUCAUGGCUCAGCUCUUUCUUCAC